rnacentral:misc_RNA from 1 species
GAUGAAGAACGUAGCGAAAUGCGAUAAGUAAUGUGAAUUGCAGAAUUCAGUGAAUCAUCGAAUCUUUGAACGCACAUUGCGCCCCCUGGUAUUCCGGGGGGCAUGCCUGUUCGAGCGUCAUUUCACCACUCAAGCCUCGCUUGGUAUUGGGCAACGCGGUCCGCCGCGUGCCUCAAAUCGUCCGGCUGGGUCUUCUGUCCCCUAAGCGUUGUGGAAACUAUUCGCUAAAGGGUGAUCGGGAGGCUACGCCGUAAAACAACCCCAUUUCUAAGGUUGACCUCGGAUCAGGUAGGGAUACCCGCUGAACUUAAGCAUAUCAAUAAGCGGAGGA